rnacentral:rRNA from 1 species
AGGAUGAACGCUGGCGGCGUGCUUAACACAUGCAAGUCGAACGGUGAAGCCCAGCUUGCUGGGUGGAUCAGUGGCGAACGGGUGAGUAACACGUGAGCAACCUGCCCCUGACUCUGGGAUAAGCGCUGGAAACGGUGUCUAAUACUGGAUACGAACAGUGACCGCAUGGUCAGUUGUUGGAAAGAUUUAUUGGUUGGGGAUGGGCUCGCGGCCUAUCAGCUUGUUGGUGAGGUAAUGGCCUACCAAGGCGACGACGGGUAGCCGACCUGAGAGGGUGACCGGCCACACUGGGACUGAGACACGGCCCAGACUCCGUAACGGGAGGCAGCGAAGUGGGGAAUAUUGCACAAUGGGACGAAAGCGUGAUGCAGCGACGCCGCGUGAGGGAGUGAACGGCCGUUACGGUCGUUAAACCUCUUUACGA